rnacentral:rRNA from 1 species
GAUGAACGCUGGCGGCGUGCCUAAUACAUGCAAGUCGAGCGAAGCGGGGACGGGUGAGUAACACGUGGAUAACCUCCUAUAAGACUGGGAUAACUUCGGGAAACCGGAGCUAAACCGGAUACUUAUAAGUGGAUCCGAGCUGGAUGAGCUAGUUGGUAAGGUAACGGCUGACCAAGGCAACGAGGCAUAGCCGACCUGAGAGGGUGAUCGGCCACACGGGAACUGAGACACGGUCCAGACUCCUACGGGAGGCAGCAGUAGGGAAUCUUCCGCAAUGGGCGAAAGCCUGACGGAGCAACGCCGCGUGAGUGAUGAAGGUCUUCGGAUCGUAAAACUCUGUUAUUAGGGAAGCGGUACCUAAUCAGAAAGCCACGGCUAACUCCGUGCCAGCAGCCGCGGUAAUUC